UAGACCGCCAGAGAAAUCAAGUCUUAAGCUGUAUAGCCGACCCAAAACUAACCCUCUACUGUCAAAUGGUAUAAAGACAGGUCUGAUGGGACUGGAACAUGGCCUAGCCUGGGCUCCCAAGGCCGAAGAGGAGAUCCAGGUUCAGGCUAAAUUGAGGCCGAUUGAUGACUUGUGACACCCCCGACACACUGUCUCAGCCUAUCUCCUCAGCCUACUCCAAAACCUGAUAGAAAACGUCAACUGUUAAUCAGCAAACACACUCGUUCCGUAGGGACAACAACAGGCCAGAUCAUUUAAUGGAGGACCAAGGGCAAUGGCCGGAGGUCUUCGAGGGCUUUGACAGACAAGAGAACUCUGGUGGGGAGGAUGAUCUGCUGGGUAGCUCCACACUCACCUUGGCUCCUCUUGUGGCCAGCCCCUACUCCCCCUGCCAUUCGCCACUCCCAGCCCCCCCAUCAUCCACAGAAGCAGGUAGCUGACAUGACUUACACAAAGGCCGUGACUCAAUAGCAAUUGACACACGUUUUACACUUGCCACCGGCUCAGCAGUCACUGAGUCAUGUUCUGAUAUUGAGUCAUGUCACAUGUUGUUUUUGUAACCUUCAUAAAUAGACUUUAUCCUAAAAAGAGAAACUAUUUUAAUGGAAAUGUAUUGUGUAAUUUAUUGGUUAUAUUGUGUGAGAGAAAAAAAACAACGUUUUCUUUUGAUAUUUUGAAACAUUGUAUCCAGGCCUCAUUUGCAACGCACUUGUUCCAUUUUCUGUUAUUUUGUUUAGCAACAUUUUCCAGAAUGAAAAGCUGGAACUGUCCUCCUUUGUUGCUCUAUGCCCAAUCCCUUUCCAGAGACGUGCAGCUCCUCUCAAUCCCCAAUCGGCCCUCUUUCACCUCUACAAAGUGACACAAGUUUAAAUUCAAGGGCUCAAUUCAGUCAAGCCUUCAUGAUAUUGUUAUUAUAAUAUGAUUGGCUGUGCAGUCUUCGGGGAUAUUGUUCUGAAUUCAUUUGAUUGGGUGUCAUAUUGAUAUCAAUAGCUAAAUGACCAUCCAAUUUGGAAAGACUUUCAUGCAAAUGUUAUAUA